CCCGAAGGUCAAGUGAAGCGCACAUGCUCCGUAGCUCUCUGCGCUACGGCGUUCACAAGGUGGGCUACACUCACCCUCACCACCUUCCGGUCCCAUGCGCGCAGCGUUGGGACCUCCGACUCGCACGGGCGCGCAUCUUUCAGGAGUACAUCGAGGAGAAGGCACCGGGUGCUUGGCAGUUGGAGGACGAGCGUCACAUGUCACCGGAGUUCAACACUUUCACCGGGUACCCAAUGCGCAACUUGCGGCCCGGCUACGGCCAGAACCUGCCAGAGUUCAUCAUGAAGAAGCGCUUACCGAACAACACGCACUACGAGCUCUUUGCCCGCCGCGACAUCCCCAACGAGGACAACGCCAUGUAUGGGAAGCUUCUUUAUGACAUGACCAUUCACGGCACGUCCUUGCCAUCGAUCUAUCGGAUGCAUAAGGACAUCAACAAGGCGCAGCGCAACGACCGAAAGCUGUCUGGCAAUCGCUUCAAAGUACUCAACUCUAGCGGUGCCAAGAGCCCGCCCUCUGGCUUUGAAGCGAUCCCCGAUGCUGUAGAGGACGAGGAUGAUUGAGAAGACCAGAAACAACCCCUCUCUUGUUGUUGAGGUCAGUGUGAGAUGCACCAGUGGCGCUGCUAUCUUUUCAUUUACGUCGCUGAGCCUGCUUUCCGCGGCUAUCUUUGUGGUGGCACGGUGCGGAGCUGUUAUGGGCGCGUGUGCCUUGUGUUGUUUUCUUCACAUCUCUUGCCGCGCAUUCGCAUGUAUGCGUGCCGUGUGCUUGCUGAUAUCCUUUUUUGCGUUCAUGAUGUGUGUGUGUUUGUGGCGAACGGUGAAAUGUUUAUUGUUAGGGCCGCACGGAUACAACGAUAGG
rnacentral:misc_RNA from 1 species